AUGGGCUCCAGGCUCCUCUGCUGUGUGGCCUUUUGUUUCCUGGGAUCAGGUGUGGUGAAGGCUGGGGUCUUUCAGGACCCCAGAAUCCAGAUCCUGAAGAAAGGACAGAGGGUGAACUUGAGUUGUGUCCAGGAGAUGAACCACGACUCCAUGUACUGGUAUCGCCAGGACCCGGGACUCAGGCUGAGGCUGAUCUAUUACUCCAUUACCUCCAAGAGUAUAAACGAAGGUGACAUCCCUAAAGGGUACAACGUGUCCAGACCAAAUAAGAAGAACUUCCUGCUCAGGCUGGAGUCUGCCACCACCUCCCAGACAGCUGUGUACUUCUGUGCCACCAGCUAUGCACAGCGCUGCAGGCUCACCUCCUCUCUGCACAAGAAGGCGGGACCAGCACCCCGGGACUCAUCAUGCCCUUUGCUGACCCAGAACAGGGAACCCUGGAGCCCUGAGGCCCUGGGCAGUGUGAACCCAGGGAUGGGCAGUGACAUGUGA